rnacentral:rRNA from 1 species
AAUGCCUAGGAAUCUGCCUGGUAGUGGGGGAUAACGUUCGGAAACGGACGCUAAUACCGCAUACGUCCUACGGGAGAAAGCAGGGGACCUUCGGGCCUUGCGCUAUCAGAUGAGCCUAGGUCGGAUUAGCUAGUUGGUGAGGUAAUGGCUCACCAAGGCGACGAUCCGUAACUGGUCUGAGAGGAUGAUCAGUCACACUGGAACUGAGACACGGUCCAGACUCCUACGGGAGGCAGCAGUGGGGAAUAUUGGACAAUGGGCGAAAGCCUGAUCCAGCCAUGCCGCGUGUGUGAAGAAGGUCUUCGGAUUGUAAAGCACUUUAAGUUGGGAGGAAGGGUUGUAGAUUAAUACUCUGCAAUUUUGACGUUACCGACAGAAUAAGCACCGGCUAACUCUGUGCCAGCAGCCGCGGUAAUACAGAGGGUGCAAGCGUUAAUCGGAAUUACUGGGCGUAAAGCGCGCGUAGGUGGUAUGUUAAGUUGGAUGUGAAAUCCCCGGGCUCAACCUGGGAACUGCAUUCAAAACUGACUGACUAGAGUAUGGUAGAGGGUGGUGGAAUUUCCUGUGUAGCGGUGAAAUGCGUAGAUAUAGGAAGG